UACAGAGGGUGCAAACGUUGCUCGGAAUUAUUGGGCGUAAAGCGCGUGUAGGCGGCCCGUUAUGUCGGCUGUGAAAGCCCAUGGCUCAACCAUGGAAGUGCAGCCGAAACUGGCGGGCUAGAGUCCUGGAGAGGGUGGCGGAAUGCCCAGUGUAGAGGUGAAAUUCGUAGAUAUUGGGUAGAACACCGGUGGCGAAGGCGGCCACCUGGACAGCGACUGACGCUAAGACGCGAAAGCGUGGGGAGCGAACAGG
rnacentral:rRNA from 1 species